AAGAAAAAAAGGAGAAAAAGUGACUGUUCGUCUGUCACUUAGGAGAGAAAAAGAAAAUCAAAUAAAAAAAGAAAGAAAGGGAAAUUAGAGAGAGCGAGAGAGAAGCGUACGGCAACGGCGACACGGCAUUUAGAUUUUUUCCUGGUGGUUGCAGUGAAGCAAAAAGGGAUUUCCUUAUCGUUUCCCGGUUGUGGACCCAACGGGGCUACUGAUCAAAGCUGUUUUAUUACUAUUUUUUUUUUUACUUUUACUAAUUAUGCUUGAUGUUUUUAUUUAUGUGUACUGUGUAGUAGGAAGGAAAUGAAUGGUGAAUGAGCUACUUGACAAAUGAAUGUAUUGCCAAUAUUUGGUGUGAGAUUUUGAAAUGCAUUAAAUGCCUUUCGAUUUGCUUGCUAAGUGGUAAUUUGUUUCUGAAAUUUGUGUCGAUUAUGUGAUUUUUAACAUUGCAUCUGAAAUAUUAUUGACCUUUUUUCUCCCAAUAUUAUAUGAUACGAAUCUUCUUGUGGAAAUUAUUUGGAUAAUGUUCUUGAUCUUCGCUCAAUUAUAAUUUAUUUGUUUAAAUAAAUUCCGGAUUAUAUCGUUUUCAUAUGUGAUAAAUCUAGAGUUAAAAACAUUGUGCAUGGAUGCAUGUUUACUCAUGAUAUUUUAGUGCUUUGUUAGUCAUUAUGUUGAACAAGGUUGAACCAUUUUGAGAGCUAGACAUUGUUUUCUUUGUGCUUGAAUUUGUGCCAGUAAUGAGUAAUCCAUAAUGCUUUUUGGCAUCUUAUUUAUUGUUAAGGUUCUUAAGAAAGAUAGAGAGAAAUGGAGCUUCCUUUAAAUGUUUUGGCAUUUAUGUUAUUUUGAAUGUGAAUGGAAAGCAUGCUGUGUCAAUUUGUUUGACUGUUCAUUUGAGUUGCAUUCAGCAAGGAAUUUUUUCGAUUAGCAAUGUUUAGAUCAUUAGUUGGUGUGGGCAAUUCUGGAAGUUCAUAAUGUUGUAAAGAUUCUGUUGAUGACUGAAAUUUGUAUGACAUGAGAUGAGAUUCUGCCCAUGGUCCAACGCCGGUAAGGCUCCUAUGUACUUCGGUCUCGGUUACAGAUGAUGGUUGAAGAUUCACCAUUUUAACUGAAGAAAGUAGAAGGGAUAGGGUACCCCUUUUUGUAUAUGUAUAUUUUUGUUUUGCAGUUGUGUGGGACUUUUAGAUGGUAGUAAAUAGGCAUUAAGUGCAGCCAUUUAUGUGUCAUUUUCUCUGAGCAGGUAGGGGUAGUUAAAAGUUUCUUUCUUUGUAAAAAAAGUUAUCCUUUGAAAUGAAGUUUCCAAGUGGGGGGACAAACCUUCGUCAUUGCUGCAUGAAAGUGAGGGAAAAUUACGGUUUCACAGGUAGCAAGUUGUGAAAGAAUCUGCUAUUUUCAUGUGAACAAAUGGAAUCUGGUAUCAAAUCCCAUCCACCAAAAGCUUUGGUGGAAAUAAAAUCAAGUUAAAUUCUCUCCUUAGUCUUCUAGUGACUAGGGGUACCAACCAAAAAGGUUGGGUUAUGGGAGCAUAAAUAGGAACUCCAAAAGAGAAGGAAAGAAUCCGGGGGGAGCAUAAGCAAGCUGAGGAUAUUCUGUUGUUUUGUAUCCUAUUCUUUGUUGUUAGGUUGAAAAUUGUUGCACCCAUUGUACUCGAUGUUUGCUUGUCAUUCUAAUGGAAUUCUCCCUUUUCAGUUUUAGUAAACUGAAUUUUCUUUCA